UUGAAAUACCAUCGAUCUCAUCUGCUAAGGUAGAAGAAUAUCCACCCAGCAUUGUACUCUUCUAGAAGAACAAAGCAAAAAGGCAUAUUAAAUCAGCAUUCAAAUAAUGGUCUUUGCUCAAAUGAGAUAUGCAAAAGACCUCAACAUUAUUAACCCAUGGCGGACCCCACAUGGCCCCGUUUUAACUAACUCCGGCAAUAGAUAAUAUAUAUGUAUUACUCAAUAUAUCUCAUAAUGGAAAUGUCGAGAGGCAGCAGGGAGAUGAAAUAAUAUAACACUUUUUCAUAUCUUGCAUAAUUCCAAGAGCACGUAUAGCCUUCUCAAAGAAGAAAACAAAAUGGGUAAGAAAACAUCUAGCCAAUAAGUAGAUACAGAUGUAUAGUAAAGGAAAAAACAUUCAGCAUCUCAAUAGAGGAAAAAAUAGCACAGGUGCAUCAGAAAAGCCACAGUUCAAAGAAAUAUAUAUGUGUAUAAAAGCAAAAUCAUGCAAGACAACUCAAGAACUUUUAGCAAACCUACAACUGCAAGAAAAUUCAGAAGGGUAUGUUAAUAAUAAAGGAAGGGCACAGUUUAGGAUCUAAAUAGCGACAUUAGUGUUGUACCCGACGAUAGCUAGUUGUGUGAAAAUGAAACAAUAUCGACAGACGCGGCAUUUAACAAAAAAAAUGUAGGUAGAGCAAUACAAAAUAGGGUUUAAUUAUCCUUUUGCCCUCAGUGGUGUCCAUGUGCUCAGUUUUGCCCUCAGAUGCGAAUUGUCCUCAGUUUUGCCCCUAGUCCGUGCGCACCGACUCGUUCCGUGAACUCUGCCGUCUCCGUCAGGUCAACCUUUUGACUCGGCCCUUACAGGUGGGACCAGGCGGCAGAAACGGCCAAUUUUAUUCAGACCGUUGCACGCGUGGCUUGUGGGACCCAGCAAAGAGCCGUUGAGCAGAGAGCCGUUGGCGGGUGUGCUAUAUAAGUGGGCGACAUCGGCGGUGACCACGGCGACAGAGAGCACGGCGGUGACCACGGCGAGAGAGAGAGCACGGCGGCAGGAAGCUAGCUGUGGAGGGCGCGGCGGUGGGAAGCUAGCAGUGGAGGGCGCGGCGGCGUUGAGAUCCCCUUCGGCUCCGAGCUCCAUGUCUUCCUCAAGCUCCCGCGCCACCUCGCGGAUGCAGAGCCGGGCGCGUGUGGACAUGCCUGUCUUCGUCUGUCCGCGGUGCCGGGCGGGCGUUGAUCGAAGGGUUUCUCAGACACCGAGGAACCAGAAUCAUCCGUUCUACGUGUGCAGCGAGAAUGGGGUAAGAAUCGGGGCAAUUGCACCAUUUUCGUCGUCGGGAUGUUUGAGCAAUGGGUUGAUCUGUUUAGUGUUCAUGCAGGUGACAUGGUUCUUUCUUUGGGUCGAUGCUUUGGCCAAGACUCUGAUGAAUGAACUGCAAGAAGAGCAUGAAGAAUGGUUGCGCAUGCUGCCACGAACGGCAGUGGCCACACCACGAGCCCCGGAAGAAGAGAUGGAUGGCGAAGCACGCACUGACAGAGAGCUAGCUAUUGAGCUUAGGAUGUUGAAGAAGAAGGUUAGGAAGCUUGAAGAUCAAGCACUACCAAUACCCAUUUGCAAAUACUUUUGGGCAUUUGUAGGUAUGGUAAUCGCACUGGUUGUAAUGUUGAAAAUGUAUGGAAAGGCAUGAAUUAUGAAGGAAUUUGUAAUCUUGAAAUUGUUUGAGAAAUUCACCUAGUUUAAAUGUUGGUUAAAGUUGUUUAAAUGUUGAAACAAAAAGAGAAGAAGUGACCAACAUUUAAAUAUGUUGGAAAAAAAGAAAGGAAAUUAGGAAUUCAGAAACUUUUGAUCAAUGAAAUGCAGCUCUCUGCUCUGCCUUUCUGUCCGAAAAAAAGGUUGCUCUUGGGCCAAAUUCAGAGCGUAGAGCCAAGUGCAGGCUAGACUAAUGGGCCAACUGCAUCCAAUUAGGCCCAUUCAGGGGUUUUCUUGCGUAUUUUUUUGUUUUCUAUUCUGAGUUAAUUUAGGCAGUAAAUCAUAAUGCUGAAACUUUUUGUGGAAGCUAAUUGAAUUAUUCCGGAGCCAAACAAUUAAGGUUAGAAAUUUUUCGGAGCUGUUAAUUAAUCCAAUUCAAAUACACCGUGAUUUAAAUCAAAGACCAAAAUGUCAUGGAAAAUGUGCCUCAGCUCUGGUAGAGGUUUACGCCAGGUGCCAAAAUAAAUGAACAUUUUUUAAGGGCAUUACAUUGAGGAAAACAUAAUAUGUAUAAAAAAUGAAGGGUGGAAAAUGCACAAAAAAUUGGUGCGGCUGGGGACUCGAACCCAGGACCGCGUGGGUUUGUGGUGUUUAGGGCUGCGCUGGUAACCGCUAGGACAGAUGGCAAGACUUUAACAUAGGUAGGGAAGGAAGGUAUACAUAGUGAGACUGUGAAUUUUUAAAAAAAAAUAGUGAGACCGUGAAUGUUUGCACACGCGUGAGAGUGGUUUUCCUUUGUUUUGCACUUAAAUUUUGGAGGGUUGGAAGGUUAAAAAUGUAUGUUGCACUACCACAUGAUUUUGGUCAGAGUGGCACUUAGUUUAGGGUUAGAGUGGCACUUGGUUUAGGAUUUAAAGGGAAUAAAUUUACAUGUUAGUUCAUGACUUUUUGUUUGAAUGAAACAGAGGGCUUCUCACCCCCUACGAUUUUCAUUAAUGAAAACCACAAGUUUUUGAACUUCAUGACUUGUUUAGGGAAGAAAUGAUAAGUUUGGGCAUGGACAUUUUUUAACACACAUAAUGAGAUAGAACACACCGUACCAUUACAAUAACUUAGAUAAGUUCAUGGACAGUUCAUGGACACAUGACGAAACAUGACACGACACGACAUGACAUAGAAAAGCAACAAAAUAAAAAACCAAACAUGACGAGCUUGACUCCGGGCUUGAACAUCUUCAUCUUGACCUCCUUCUUCCACCUUGGCCGCGCGCGCCCCUUCAACACCAUCUUCAUCUUCACACCUCCUCCUCGUCGUCGUAGGGAAGGGAGUGCAUCUGGCCUGGAGCGGGGAAGAUGCGCUCGUAGUUGGUGUAGAUGUUGUAGAUGGUGAAGAAGAUGGCCUCGCAGCCGCACCAAAAGACUUGGCCGAGGAGCUCGCGCGCGUCAAAUGGGUUGGUGAAGGUGACCGUGAGCAGAAGGAGGAUGCCGUCGUGGUCACGAACCUCGUUGAGGGUGAACAUCCUCGGCGAGCCCCGUGGGAGGUGGGCAUAGCCGGCUCUGAGGAAGGCGCGGGUGAGUUCGACGGAACCCCUCCACCUUGAAAUAGCCCACACACGGAGCUCCCUCUCCACGAGCACGCCCGGUGGGUAGCGCAGCUCCGGCACCACAGGCAGACGGCGGAAGGUCGGCCCGUUGAAUUGCAUCUUCUUCACUUGGUCUCGCUUGGGGAGGGCUUCGUCGCUUGGGUGUUUGAAGUUGGAGAGAAUCGGAUCUGGCUUGUGGGUGGGAGAGGAAGAGAGGCACCCCAUUUAUAGGCCUGUGGGUGGGAGAGGAAGGGAGAAAGGAUGAGAACGGUGCGUGCGUGAAUCCGGACGCGUGUGUGUAUCCGUUACGUUUUGCACACUUAAAUUUUUGCAUGAAAACGAUGCAUCUUUGACCGGGCAGUGCAUGUGAACCGCUGCCCUGAACCACUGCCCUGAACCACCUAGCUCGCCUUGCUAGCCUAGCUCGCCUAGCUGGCCUAGCGCGCCUCGCUCGCCUCACUCGCAUGCAUGCACGUCGCCGCCUCCCGCGCAUGCGCAAACCCACGUAGCCGCCUCCAUGCAUGCAAGGCCUGGAAAGGCUGAGACGGGCUAUUUACUGCGAUCUCAGGCCCAGACAACGAGACGGCCCAACGGUCCAUCCAGCGCGUCCGAUAUUUGUUAAAAAAACAAUCUCCCAGCCAAUCAGAUUGCAUCUCGCGGAUCGCCCCCCUCCUCCCCGCAGAUUUCUUCUAGAAGGGUUAGAUCGACGGCCCUUGAUCACCGCUAGGGUUAGAUGAACGGUCCUUAUUCAGCGCUAGGGUUAGCGGGGUUUGGGAGGGGUUUGGAGCAGUCAAAGCUAUGUUUGACCAGAUUUCAAAUGAGCAUAAUAAAUUAAAUAAAAAUCAGAAAAAUGAAAAACCUGCGCACAUAGUCUUCUUAUGUCAUAUACUAACGNNNNNNNNNNNNNNNNNNNNNNNNNNNNNNNNNNNNNNNNNNNNNNNNNNNNNNNNNNNNNNNNNNNNNNNNNNNNNNAUUUCAAAUGAGCAUAAUAAAUUAAAUAAAAAUCAGAAAAAUGAAAAAUCUGCGCACUAGUCUUCUUAUGUCAUAUACUAACGAUUUAAAUUGAUAAACAAGCUUUACAUACAUUUAAAUGAUAAGUUCAUGUGUAUUGUAUGAUAUCUCGAGUAUCUCAAACUCUCUGGUAUGAAGUGAAGAGAAGUGUUUUGGGGAAAUGAACAUGAAAAUUUCAAAAAACUCACCACAGCUUCAUUUUGGAGUGACUAAGAAGGAUCCAUGCUUAGUUUUUCAUUUUGAUGUUUUAAACUUGUUUAAAUCUUGGUCAAAGUUAAGUUUGACCAGAAUUCAAAUGAGCAAAACAAAUUUAAAAAAAAUUCAAAAAAUGGAAAAACCAGCGCACAUAGUCUGUACAUAUAGAAUAUAUGUGUAGGAAAGUUAUUUGGCUGAUCUAGAUAAGGUCAACAAAAACCUUGCUUAGAAAUGAGGCCGUUUACCCUACCUUUGGACCCCUCUUUUUAGCACAUUUUUCAUGAAAAUUUCAAAAACCUCACCACAACUUCAUUUUGGAUUGACUAAGAAGUAUCCAGGCUUAGUUUUUCAUUUUGAUGUUUUAGACUUGCUUAAAUCUUGGUCAAAGUUAAGUUUGACCAGAAUUUAAAUGAGCAAAACAAAAUUCAAAAAAAUCAAAAAAAGGAAAAACCAUGUGCUCAUUCAAACAUCAUCCAACAGAUAUUUAAACAUCAUGUCAAACAUACUUCUAACAUAGGUCCAACAUCAUCCAACAGAAAUACAACAUGUCAAGUGAUAAAUGUUUCAUAAUACAACAUCAUUCCUUAUUCAUAAUGUUUCAUAAUUGUUCAUGGAUAGCGUUGGGGCUUCUGUCUGUUUCUUGAGCUUCUUGCCAUCACUUUGCUCCUCGUGCACCUUGUGAUCAUUGUUUCUUCUCUUCUUCUCUUGGUUGUCGGUACCUUGCGCGUCUUCUUCAAACCUACCAUAGAGCUGUGCAAAACAUAAAGGGUCCAAACAUAAACGGUAAUGAGAUCGUGUCAAGUGAUAGAUAUACAGUAGUAUUUGACCCUUGCAAGAUUUACAUACCUAGCAGAACUCCAUUUGGAGCCUCACUUGGAUCACCAUGAUCACCAUUUAGAGCCUCACUUGGAUCACCAUUUGGAGCCUCACUUGGAUCAUCAUUUGGAGCCUCACUUGGAUCAUCAUUUGCAGCCUCCAUGGACAACCCUCAGUCGGACAGUGCACUCUGUAACGUACUUGAUCGCUCUUGUCAACUUUGAAAGUACGUUCUACCUUGAUGCAGUAUGUCACAAGUGCAUUUCUACACUCAUUCAUGGAUGCAAAAACUGUACCUUCUUCCAUUUGAGGGUUCAAAGGGCCCCAUUCAACAGCUGCAAGGUCUUCGUCCUCACCCAUCGCGUCAUCAUCCACACGGACUGCAUUGUGAGCCUCAUCUUGGUUUUCAGCCCGAGGUGCCCGUCGUAAAUUCUGAAUAACAUCAGAAUAUAACUUCUCUUCAUCAACCCCAGAAUUGUAGCCAUCAGGCUCCACUUCAAGGGGGACCCUACUGCUGUUGCCCACACUUGUCGAGCCACCACGUCGUCGUGCACCAACUGAACUGUUCUGGCUAGAGAUGCCAUUACGACGACUUGAUUCUCCCCGAGAUGUUGCACCCGCCAUCCUAGGUCCAAAUGCCUGCUCAAGCACAUCAACUUGCAGCCUCACAUGAAAAUUAUCUUUCUCUUUAUGCCUAACAAACAUGGUAGCUAGCUCUUCAUCAUUACUAACUGUCACCCAAUUCUUUUCACCAUCAUAGUAUUUGUAUACCACUUCAUCAAGCAAACCCCAAGGAUAUUGGCUACAAAUUACCUCCCCAAAUUGUCUGAAACUCCAAUUACUAGCCAUUGGCAACCGAUAAUCAAAACCUCCUUGGUAUUUCUUCUUAUCCUUUGCAUCGAACAUGUACCGGUCCCUUCUAAUGUGCACCAUGAAAGCAAACCGCAACUCCAUCCUAACCGGCGAAAAACAGAGACGCAAUCAGCACACUAAUUGGGCAAACCUACUCGAAUCGAGUGUUCAAAUGCACAACUAAGCUCAAUCUAAACAAGAGGCGAGACUUACCCCUCGGGAACCCAGUCGUGGACGCGGCGGAUCUCCGGCCCGAUGCCUGCCUCGCCAAAUACUCCGGGGUCGCCGCUGCUCACCAUUUCGCCCUAGGGUUCUUCCUCCUAGUUCAAAUAGCUCCAGCAGCCCCCCACCUUUGAGCGCUCCGGCCGGGCGCACGGAAGGAGGCCGCGCCGCGAAUCGAGCAGGUGGCGGGCGCCCCACCCGUGGCGUCGCAGGAAGGUGGUGGGCAUCACAAUGAGCCGUGAAGCGUAGGCGCAGGGAGGUAGCGGCGGAGCAGGCCGUGCAACUGGUGGCGGGGCAGGUGCUGGCCGAGGCGCAGGUGGCGGCGGCGGCGGCGCAGGACAGCCGGCCGGGCGGAUGGGUGUGAGCUAGAAUGAUUUGGGGAUUUAGUUGCAGGGGCCUACAUGUCAGCUCCGGACCCACGUCCACGCGGUCCCACGUGUAAGCUCCGGACCCACAACUACUAACGCCGGCGGACGGAAUGGACUCAAAUAUGGCCGUUUGGCCUCGUCGUAGUUGCUGUGCUCGGACUAGGGGCAAAACUGAGGACAAUUUGCAUCUGAGGGCAAAACUGAGCACAUGGACACCACUGAGGGCAAAAGGAUAAUUAACCCUACAAAAUAAACAUUAAUACAAAUUGACAGGCACAAGCAUAAUCAGAAAAUAUCUACCAAGAGCAUACCGAAUGCAUGACUGUUAUUGUUUCAUUCAUAGGUCCAGCCAUGACUAUUUCAAGUUCUCUAUGGGCAACACAAACUCACCAGGAAAUGAUCAUCAUCAGGCAUCUAUGGGCAAACAUCACCUUGUUUGCUUUGUGCUCAACUACUUUCUGAAAUAGAAAUAUAGAAGUUUCAGCAGCAAGCAGCCAAGUAAAGUGACACAUUAGUAAGGCUGCUAUUUAUAUCCCAUCAUAGCAAAUCAAUCUA
rnacentral:lncRNA from 1 species